GGACAACUAGGGAUUGUUGGAAGACGUCACUCAAGGAGGAUACUUAUUUGGCGAUUUCAGAUUUCAGAGAACAGUGGUUUGAAUUAUUUAACACAUUUUCCAGAGCAGAAAGAUAUUCAUUCAUUCAAUGAAAUUCAUUUCAUUGUAGCAGUACUAAGUGCUGUGACAAAAGAGCAUGAUGUCUUUACACGAGGGUCUAAGAAAGCCUAGAAAUGUGUAUACAAAAAAGGGAAAAGAAUCAAAAAUAGCAUUUCAGUAGAAGAUAAGAAAUUCGAGCAUCUCCUUCUUUCUAACUAGUACUGCUCCAAACUUAAGCAGACAGGUGCUUGUGAUGAGUACUCUGUGGUGACACGUACCACCUGAGAAUGUGGUUGCUGACAGUUGCUAGGGAGAAGCUCAUGGAAACCAACAGAACCAAGGCAAGGAAUGUGGAGCUCUGAGAUGGUGAAGAGAAUGGAUGCAGGCAAAAAGCGAUGGAGGAGAGAUCUACACAUGCAGAUGAGGUACCAUACUUGGAUUGGAAUUGUUUACCAAUGUCGGUGGAUCAGAGGCCCGGGUGUUAAUCAAGAAAGAAUGAAGGGUCACAGACCAGAACUUCUGAAGUAA
rnacentral:lncRNA from 1 species